AUUAAAUUCAGAUAUAAUGCAGAUAAAUACUUCAGAUCAUUACAAAUGGGGCCCAGUCAAGGUGAAAGUCAAAAGCAUUGGUGCUACUGUAGAUGCCAACAGACUACCAGCAAACACAAUGUUUGCAGGACUUCUACAACGAGGAUAAAGUGACAUAGUCCAGGACCCGAGGGAGGACAGUUUAGCGAUGGCGCUACAACACGCUACAGCAGGUCCGUUUGACAAGAAACACUUCUGUUACAGACACUUGUCUUACUUUGUUAAAGCGGUUUACCUGUCCAGCGGAAAGGUUACAGGGUCACCAAGAUCCCCAAGCGUCCCCCAUCGUUUAUGUUGAC